GCCAUAGUAAACCAACAAAGCACUUCGAUCACAGAUGUAGUAAGUAAUAAUUUAGCCUGUAUGAAUGUCAAAACAUAUGUAUAUAUGCGAAUGUCUCGAACUUAAUUAAUUACUGAUUCUAUGGUUACAGAUGAAACUUGAAUCGAAAGAAUACACAAAAGACAACAUAAACGUGUUGAGAAUGGAGUGGGCCGAGUUUGUUGGGUCCUACCUUACUUUUUCAUAAGAUGUGUAUUUACUUUUUUUGGCCGACCAUGAACUCAUGUUGCAUAUAAUAUUCUUUUUUGCUUGCACAUUGUUCGAGUUCAUGGUUGAUGCAUUGGUAGCAACACUUUUGUCKCGCUUAUUUUUUGGAAUGCUGGCCACCUUAUACUUUCAUGACGAAGAGAAAAACUUUGGUGUGAGUUGUUAACUAUAUCACUGUUUAUUCAUUUGAAGGUGUAGUACUUAGAGUAAUCUGAAUAUUUAAAUUUUCUGGUAGAACUACUUCGUCAGACACACUACUUUGACGUAUCUAUUUUUUCAGACAAGAAAUUUUUGGUCGGCUUCGUAGUUCAACGCAUAUGCGGAGCAAUCUUCGCACUAGAAAUGCUUGUCGAACUGYGUUCGGGUGAGCUGAAGCAUGUUAUGGCCGYUUCAUUCAAAGUUCCAUCAUAACAAAGGUCUUUCUUAACCCAAAGAUGCGACAAUUAGAAAUGCAACUAAGUGGUGGCUGAGCAUCGUUGUUGGGGUUGGUGUGUAAAGAACAUGUUUAAUUCUGUAAUUAUGUAAUUUGUGUUUAAGAAUACUAAUACAUUCUAAAUUAAUAUAUUAGCUUCCUUGUUCAUGUUUAAUA